rnacentral:rRNA from 1 species
CUCUUAUGAAGUUAGCGGCGGACGGGUGAGUAACACGUGGGUAACCUGCCCAUAAGACUGGGAUAACUCCGGGAAACCGGGGCUAAUACCGGAUAACAUUUUGCACCGCAUGGCGCGAAAUUGAAAGGCGGCUUCGGCUGUCACUUAUGGAUGGACCCGCGUCGCAUUAGCUAGUUGGUGAGGUAACGGCUCACCAAGGCAACGAUGCGUAGCCGACCUGAGAGGGUGAUCGGCCACACUGGGACUGAGACACGGCCCAGACUCCUACGGGAGGCAGCAGUAGGGAAUCUUCCGCAAUGGACGAAAGUCUGACGGAGCAACGCCGCGUGAGUGAUGAAGGCUUUCGGGUCGUAAAACUCUGUUGUUAGGGAAGAACAAGUGCUAGUUGAAUAAGCUGGCACCUUGACGGUACCUAACCAGAAAGCCACGGCUAACUACGUGCCAGCAGCCGCGGUAAUACGUAGGUGGCAAGCGUUAUCCGGAAUUAUUGGGCGUAAAGCGCGCGCAGGUGGUUUCUUAAGUCUGAUGUGAAAGCCCACGGC